ACACGGCCCAAACUCCUACGGGAGGCAGCAGUAGGGAAUCUUCCACAAUGGACGCAAGCUGGAUGGAGCAACGCCGCGCGAGUGAAGAAGGUUUUCGGAUCGUAAAGCUCUGUUGUUGGUGAAGAAGGAUAGAGGUAGUAACUGGCCUUUAUUUGACGGUAAUCAACCAGAAAGUCACGGCUAACUACGUGCCAGCAGCCGCGGUAAUACGUAGGUGGCAAGCGUUGUCCGGAUUUAUUGGGCGUAAAGCGAGCGCAGGCGGAAGAAUAAGUCUGAUGUGAAAGCCCUCGGCUUAACCGAGGAACUGCAUCGGAAACUGUUUUUCUUGAGUGCAGAAGAGGAGAGUGGAACUCCAUGUGUAGCGGUGGAAUGCGUAGAUAUAUGGAAGAACACCAGUGGCGAAGGCGGCUCUCUGGUCUGCAACUGACGCUGAGGCUCGAAAGCAUGUGUAGCGAACAGGAUUAGAUACCCUGGUAGUCCAUGCCGUAAACGAUGAGUGCUAAGUGUUGGGAGGUUUCCGCCUCUCAGUGCUGCAGCUAACGCAUUAAGCACUCCGCCUGGGGAGUACGACCGCAAGGUUGAAACUCAAAGGAAUUGACGGGGGGCCGCACAAGCGGUGGAGCAUGUGGUUUAAUUCGAAGCAACGCGAAGAACCUUACCAGGUCUUGACAUCUAGUGCCAUUUGUAGAGAUACAAAGUUUCCUUCGGCGACGCUAAGACAGGUGGUGCAUGACUGUCGUCAGCUCGUGUCAGGAGAUGUUGGGAUAAGUCCCGCAACGAGCGCACCCUUGUAUUAGUUGCCAGCAUUAGUGGGCACUCUAUGAGACUGCCGGCGACAAUCGGAGAAGCGGGACGACGAA
rnacentral:rRNA from 1 species